rnacentral:rRNA from 1 species
GAUACUAACGCAGACAGUGGAUGCCUUGGCGCAUGUUGCCGAAGAAGGACGUGCAUGGCUACGAUAAUCGUCGGGGAGGAGCCACGAUCCAGUGAUCCGACGGUGUCCGAAUGGGGAAACCCAACCGAGUUCAUAUUCGGUUCUUCUACGGCCAAGUAUCCCGACUUGUCGGGAUUAAUAAUCGUAGAAAGGGUACCACCCAAACUGAAACAUCUCAGUAGGGUGAGGAAGAGAAAACAAAGUGAUUCCGUAAGUAGCGGAGAGCGAAAUCGGAAUAGCCCAAACCGCUCCGAUCCUUCGGGAUUGGAACGGGGUUGUAGGACUCCAAUGUGGGACCCACACCUUUUAGUAGAAUGAUCUGGAAUGGUCAAUCAUAGAGAGUGAAAAUCUCGUACACAAAAAAAGGUGGGGCUCUAGGAGUAUCCUGAGUACCACGGUCGAUAUCUCCGUGGGAACCUGGGGGAUCCAUCCUCCAAGGCUAAAUACAACAUGCGACCGAUAGUGAACCAGUACCGUGAGGGAAAGGCGAAAAGAAGGGCGGGACGCCCAGUGAAAUAGAACCUGAAACUGUUUGCGGACAAACCGAGAGAGCCUUGUGCCUUGCACAAGGAAAUCCAAAUGACUAAAUCCCAAAUCCAAAUAAUAAUUUUCGAAUUUUGAAAUUGGGAUUUUGGAUUUUCCUGCGCAGAGCGCAGGGUGAUCUCGUGCCUAUUGAAGAAUGAGCCGGCGAGUAUCCUUGUGAUAAAAGUCUAAGUCGCUUAAAGCGACGGAGGCGUAGCGAAAGCGAGUCUUAAUUAGGGCGUUUAUUAUCACAUGGAUGACCCGAAACCAGGUGAUCUACCCAUGAGCAGGGUGAAUCCCGAUGAAGAUCGGGAAGAGGCCCGAACCGUUGUAUGUUGCAAUAUGCUCGGAUGACUUGUGGGUAGGGGUAAAAUGCCAAUCGAACCUGGAGAUAGCUGGUUCUCCCCGAAAGGUCUAUGGGGACCGUGGCAAUGUUAAACGUAUGAGUGGUAGAGAUACUGGAUGGGUAAGCGAGGGUAACCGAGUUUACUUAACCAAACUCCGAAUAACUAUACGUAAUCCGUUGCUAGACAAUCUCAUCGGGCUAAGCUGAUGAGGUGAGAGGGAAACAACCCAGACUUUCGGCUAAGGCCUCUAAAUCACAACUAAGUUUUAAAGGAAGUCGAAAACCUUAGACAGCCAGGAGGUUGGCUUAGAAGCAGCCACCCUUUAAAGAAAGCGUAACAGCUCACUGGUUAAGGUUAUCGGCGCCUAAGAUUUAUCGAGGAUUAAGUUGUGUGCCGAAGCUAGAGAUCCGCAAGGAUGGUAGGGGAGCGUUCCAAAUGCAGUGAAGUUCAGUCGUAAGGCUGGGUGGAGUGUUUGGAAGUGAGAAUGCCGGCAUGAGUAGCGCACUAGAUGUGUGAGAAUCACAUCCGCCGAAUACCCAAGGUUUCCGUCGGGAGGUUCGUCCGCGACGGGUUAGUCGGUGCCUAAGGCGAGGCCGUUAUGGCGUAGUCGAUGGACAACUGGUCAAAAUUCCAGUACUUACCUUGGAUCGUUACACCGCAAGGUGCAUACGUAAGUAUGUUUAACUGGGGGUUAACUAGACAGGAUGAUUGAAGCCAGUUUACGAAGUCUGGUGCAAAUUGUGAGAUAGUAGCAGUUGGAAAAUCCGCUGAAACGAUUAAUCAAGCAAUGAUGCAGAGCUUCAGUCAAAUGGGGCGAUUUCAAACCAUUCAGUCUACAAGAAAAGACUCGCAGUGAGAUCCAAGAUAAGCCGUACCGCAAUCCGACACAGGUGGGUUGGUCGAGAAGACUAAGGCGAGCGAGAGAAAGAGGUUCAAGGAACUCGGCAAAAAAGCUGGACGUAACUUAGGGAGAUGUCCUGUCCCGAUUUUAUCGGGACCGCAGCAAACGAGUGCUAACCGACUGUUUAUCAAAAACACAGGUCCGUGCAAAGGCGUAAGCCGAAGUAUACGGGCUGACGCCUGCCCAGUGCCGGUAAGUUAAGUGGAUGGGUGUUUCAUCGUAAGAUGAUUUGCUCUGAAAUGAAGCUCCGGUAAACGGCAGCAGUAACUAUAACUGUUCUACGGUAGCGAAGUUCCUUGUCGGGUAAGUUCCGACGCGCACGAAAGGCGUCACGAGUUAGCAACUGUCUCGAGCCUCUACUCGGCGAAAUUGCGUUGGCUGUGAAGACGCGGCCUACUUCCACCAGGACAAAAAGACCCCGUGGAGCUUUACUGUAGC